UACGGAGGGGGCUAGCGUUGUUCGGAAUUACUGGGCGUAAAGGGCGCGUAGGCGGUUUACCAAGUCAGGCGUGAAAGGCCUGGGCUCAACCCGGGAACUGCGCUUGAUACUUGUAGACUUGAGUCCGGGAGAGGAUGGCGGAAUUCCCAGUGUAGAGGUGAAAUUCGUAGAUAUUGGGAAGAACACCGGUGGCGAAGGCGGCCAUCUGGACCGGAACUGACGCUGAGGCGCGAAAGCGUGGGGAGCAAACAGGG
rnacentral:rRNA from 1 species